CGGGGCACGAACCCGUGUCCCCUGCAUCGGCAGGCGGACUCUCAACCACUGCGCCACCAGGGAAGCCCAAGUACGUCUUUGAAUAACAUUUUUUGUAAAGGUUAAUCGAGGCAGGACCCUGGAAUUUCACCAGUUGUUACUUCCAUAAUACAUGCUUUACAAAGUCACUGUCCUAAGCCAUUUUCCUAUUGGCAAUUUACUUAGGUAUUUAUCCUCUGGUAUGCAAUGUCUAUUAGUGAUUGCAUUAUGAAACCCCAUCACUGUCUGCUGGAGUCCACAUAGGAAAUGAGACACUACCAUCCUCCACAAAUGGAGUCAGAGAGACCACAGGAGGAGACUCAGAAAGCAGGGACAUGGUGGCAGCAAAAAACAAAAUGAGACAGAAAGGGCAGUAUUUCAGUUUAAGGAAAACUAGAGAGCAUCCCAAACAAGAUCUAUUUCUGCUGAGGGCUGCAUUCAGAAGAUGACCUGUAGGAGUUGGGGAUUUCAAAGAUGAAGGAAUGCUGGCUGAUAUAAAGGUCCAGCUCACAAUCAUGGGAGGAAGUGGGGAAAAAAACUGAUUGCAAGUGAAAAGAGACAUCAAGUAGUCAAAGAACUAUGUCUCCCUAAAAAUGGCAGGAAUUGGGGUGGAAAAAAGAAUCCAUGAACGAAGCACUACAGUUCUCCCUAAAUACAGAAGAGUGUGUGACCCAGAGACUGGAGGUCAUAUCGAGCGGGCAGAGAGGUGGUGUUGUAACCUGAUGCCAUGGGCUUUGGUACAUUUUUAUUUAAGAAUGGAGCAGUUAUUCUUGGAAAAGACUUAGGGUAGAUUGCUCUAGGUUCAGAAAUUGGCAGGAACCUGGUGAGGUCGGAGAGCAGCUCCCCGCUUCCAGGAAGUCUUUCUCCUCAUGGAAGUGUUAGGAUGUGCUAGGAGAAUACUAAGAAGAUAACGAAAAUAUAGAAGAACUUGUUCACAGUAAUCUUGGAUUCCGCUGGGCACCGUCUAAGGGGCGAAGAUAAGGAGCAAGCAGUGUUUGAGGAAGCGUCCGAGGGUGGAAGAGUAGAGCCGUGAAAAGUGGCCAGAGAGGCCUGACUUUUGCCUUGGGUCCCAUGAUUACCAAGAUGAGAAGAAGGGAAGGAAUUUACUAGCCAGAAAAGGUUCCUAAAUUUGAUAUGAACGUUAUAAUGAACAUUAUCUUAAUGCUAGAAUUGGAGCAGGUCUCAGGUGUUAUCAGGGUCGAUGCAGAACUUCCCUCUUUGUGGCACACUAAGUGUCCCAUAGCCUGGGGGAAGAUUUCUUUCCACUAUUGCUUGCUGAGCUGCGGUCCAGGUGUGGGUGAGGUCCUAAGGAUGGUUUACAAAGCUCUUUAUCAUCCAUCUGCAUCUCCUGUUUCUCCCACUGUUUCUCCCUGGCGCGACUAAAUGUCCAACAAGGUUUCCCUUUCCACUACCAAGCUCCGGACGGGCACCACGCGUGUGGCCUCUUCACCUCUCCCUGGGGAACUCUUCAUCAAUUUCAGGCAUCAGCUAAAAAGUCCACUGCUCUGUGAAGUCUUACUCACCUGCUCCUCUUCUCCCCAAGCUUCACCAAAUUCCUCCUUCAAGUCUUCAACCAAACUGAAGGUGACCUGGAGGGGCAGAAUUGGACCGAAUUAGACAGACAUGGUGUGCCGAGACCCCUAAAGACAGGACUCAUGUUCAUGUCUAAUGGAAGAAGCUUUAGCAAAGUUUGACUGUAAAUCAACACGUAAACAUAUGUAUCUGGGAGACAAGAGCCAGUGACGUGUUGUAAAACCUCCGGAGCCCAAUUGCCUGUGCUCAAGUCUUGCGCAAGCAGCUCCACGGCCUUGAGAAACUUACAUUACUUCUCUUCCCUUCUCUGUAACAUGAGGACCAUGAUACAGGUUCUUAACAGAGAAGUGCUACGAGACUUAAAUGAGCGAAGUAAUAUAAAGCUGUUGGAACUGCUCCAGACCCAUGGUGAAUACGCAGUAAGAGUUGCAGGAGUGAAAAUGUUGCCUGAAGGUCAGUGGCAGAUACUUCAAACAUUCAGAUGUCCAAGUUCAGCUUCUUAAGCAGGAGCCUAGGAGGUUGCGUUUCUGGGGCUGGGCCAUUACUGCUGUUUUUGAAGCUGCCACCAUGAGGACUCACACGUCAGCUGCUACAGACAGAUGAGAAGGCAAGGGAAUUGAAUGAAGGAGUUGUUCAGCCAGGCUGUGCACCGUCUCUAGAUCCGGAUGGCACACAUAUCCUGCGCUCUUUGCAACCUGACUAAGCAUGGCUGAGAACCUCCUCACGCAGUCCGUGCAGCUCACAAAGCACUUCCCUAAGAGACGGAGUUCAAAAAAGACUCACCACCUUCCUCUUUUUGUAUGUGAGGGGAUCAUAAAACAAAAAACCUAAAUUUCAUGAAUCACAGAAUAAAGACGUCUUAUAUUCUGUAUGUAUUAUAUGUUCUAAAAACAACAAGAUUAGUAAUAGUUGCCUUUGACACUACCAGGCACUCAAUAAUCAAGAGUGUAAAAUAGAUAGUGGGAAGCAACCACAUAGCACAGGGAGAUCAGCUCGGUGCUUUGUGACCACCUAGAGGGGUGGGAUAGGGAGGGUGGGAGGGAGACGCAAGAGGGAGGAGAUAUGGGGAUGUAUGUAUACGUAUAGCUGAUUCACUUUGUUAUAAAGCAGAAACUAACACAAUUUAGUUGUGUUAUUAUACUUUAUUAUACUCUAUUAUUAUACUCUGAUAAAGAUGUAAAAAAAAAAGAGUGUAUUUACUAAUACUUUUCAUUAUAAUAUGUUGGCAAUUCCUGGUUCUUUCUCCCUCUUUCUCUUUUUAACCGGACAGACAUUAAUAAGAAUUUAUAAUAUAAAGUGAAUGAAAUUAUUGUAUAGAGAUGAGGAUAAUAAUUUUUUCUUCAUUAAGUUGAAUAUUUUCUAUAGGAGUAGAGUCAAACCUAAAGAAAUGACCUAUAAUUAAAGACUUGAAAUGUCUUAAGCUUUACAUCCAACAAGAAUACAAUUGACCCUUGAACAACAUGAGGGUUAGGGACCCCGCGACCCUCCACAGAGUCAAAAAUCCGAGUAUAACUUAUAGUCAGCCGUCCACAUCCUGAGGCUCCUCCUAUCCCGAGGUUCCUCUAUAUCCUGGAUUCCACAUCUGUGGAUUCAAACAACACGGGAUCUUGUACUGCUGUAGUAUUUACUACUGGAAAAUAUCGCAUAUUACUGGAUGCAUGCAGUUCAAACCCAUGUUGUUCACAGGUCAACUGUACAGGAUUUUUUAAGCCUUUUAUUCAGCACUCAGGUUUACCACCCAAGCACCAUCCGUUCUGAAAUCCUUUAGUUUGAGAAAUUGUUUCUUCAAGAAACUUCUUCAAAAUGCUUGACUUUUCCUGGAAAGCCAUACAUAUAGCCUCUUAUCUUGGACAUCUGUCAAUAUACAUCAAUACACUGGUUAAAAAAAGUAACAUAUUUGGCGACUAAAUAAGCAUCCCUUCUUCCAGACAAUCUUCUGUGAUGCUCAAGGGGAUGCAAACCCUCCCUUCUUGUCUCCCCUCCCCCAAGUUCUCCACCUCUCAUGGGGCACCAAAUACACAAAAGGCAUUUAUUUGUUUUUCUGUAUCUUGUCCAGUUGACUGUGUGCUCCUUGAGAAACAGAGUCACAACUUCUCCAUCCCUGUAUCUCCCAGGGCCAAGGACAGUGCCUGGUAUCUGAGUUUAAUAAAGUGAAAAGGAUAGUUGAAGAAUCUUUCUAUUAAAAUAAAAUCCACUUUUAUGUCCCUUGCCACUGAA